ensembl:lncRNA
UAGUAAUUCAUGGAAAUGCCCUGCGCUUGAUUUGACCAGCGUCCUCCAAGUCCCAUCUUUUGUUUUAGGAAAUUCGAACUAUGGGGAACACAAUCCCAAAGGGAAGCCACGUCAGGAGAACAUGAGAAAGUUCAUUUUAGGCUACCAGGAGACAACGUGGAAGAAAAAGGGUUGCCCUAGAAAAUCCCAGGCAGCAUCGCUUAAAACGAGCUGGCUUCUGGGGGAAGGAAUAGAAGGUGUUUGGGGGUAAAGAGCAGGAUAAAGAAAGGGUUGGGGAAGUGAACAAAGAGACCAUCUCCCGCUGCUCGAUUCCUACUGCACUGAAGGAAACGGGAGUUCAGGUCUAUGCAGGAAGAAAUGUGAAUCCAAAGGAAAUCUGACCUCAUAACCAAUUUCUUCUCUGAAUGGAAAUAACUUGAUUAGACCUCAAAUUCCAGUUAAUAGCUCAUGUCAAGCAGAGCAAAGGUGUCGCAGUCUUGCCAGAUUCAGCUAGGAAAAAUGCUCUGCUUCCAUCUACUUCUGCAUGGCUCGAGGGAUGAAGGCAGGCAGGUUUGGAUCAAAAGCCUCAGAUUAAUUGCCGGAGAGGCUGACAGCAUGCUCCCACAAUGGAGCGAUUCCUCUUCCACAAGUCCUUUUGCAAAAGGACUGGAAAACGAGCAGGAGCCCUGCUCUCAGGCCUGAAGCUUAUGAGCUUGCCACUGGACCCUUGGAGAAGGAAGGUGUGAGAAAUACGCAGGGAACAUCCAAGGGCAGAGCACAGGACAGACCCAGGAGCACCUUUGGGACUAUGCUCCAACAACACAAGGACCAUUAGGGCCGCUCAGUUGACAGUCCAGGGCAAGAAGAUGUAGGACUUCUGGCAUACUAUUAACAGGUUACAUCUACACUCUUUACCAGCCCUCAGGUACCAUCGCCAUCACUCACUACCAAAACGACAGAGGAGCUGACAGAGGAGAACAAGGACCUCGUUCACACUAGCAUAAACCAGGGAUAAAGCACAAUUAUGCCAAAGUCAAUGAAGUUCAGACGAGAACAGCUUUAGUCUUACUGAAGCAGGCAUUUGGAUAUAUUAUGCAGGAACCUUUACGAUGUAAUGUUUGGCCUUGGAGAUGACAUUGGUAGUUUCCUCAGAUAAUUAAAAGAUAGAACCAAACACUGCUUUAAGAGACAUUAAAAAAAUUCCCCCACACCUAAAUAAUACUAAUGUUAGGAUUGAAGUAACAUUAAAAAGGGAGAGACUAAUUUUGACCUUAUUUUAACUACUCAAGACAAUGCUCAUCAGAUGGUUUUAUUAGGCAAGCAGAAGUAGAAAUGGCCACAUCAGCCCUCCCCCUAUAAUGUAAUUAAACAACGCCCACAACCCCAAUGCACUGUACACAGUCUCUGGGGACAGGAACUGAGGAGGAAAAGGCCAUGAAUAACAAAGGUUAAUCACAUUGCCUAAUGCACUUAGAUGCUCCAGUGGCCAGGACAGUAGCAAAACUAAAUAAAAUCCCUGACAGCAUAUAGACAUCACGGGUCAAUGCAGGACAGAUGCAGUAAGUCAAAUGGUAACAACUGCUUUGUGGUUUCCAUACGGAACCACUGGAAGGCCUUCUAAAAUACAUUAAUGCCUUUAAUGAGAUACUGGGGGCUCCAGGAAGAUAAUUCAGACAAGCAAUUGAGUUUAUGGAUCAGAAGGACUAUUUAUGAUGAACUGCACCCGGUCAGCUCAGAAACAAACCAGGACAAGAAAGCCAGGAUUAAGACAAAAAAAGAAGUCUAUGAAUACCAGUAAAAACAGAUUAUUAUACGUACAGAUUACUAUUUUUUUUUAAAUCAGUGGCCCCUCAGUAACACCUGAAAUCAACAUUAAGUCUUGGUGAGGGGUAAGAGGGAGCAGACUGGGGACUGCAUCUGGGGAUGCAGUUAUUAGAACUGACCCUCAGUCCCAGAAGGGAGGGCUGUUUUGGACAAAAUCUGUAACUAUGAACUCCAUUUUGGGGCCAGGAAGAAAGUUUCUCUAUUCCUCUAAACAUCAGCAUUUUCACUCUUGUGAAGAUUGACAUCCACAUUGGAUUGUCCCACUUCAUCAAAAGGCUUUCCUUCAGAAACAUUUUGCUGCUAAACCUCAGAAACACUGGUCAAAUAUAUCACCCUCUAAGAAUUUUAGAGAGGAAUAAAACAAGGAAAUUUGGAGACUCAGGAUGAAAAACAAGACACGUCUUUUCACCUGGUAUCUGAAAACUCAAGAAAACACUUUCAAUCUACUGCAUCUACAUGGGUCAAUGGAUCGAUGUACCUAGAACUAAGUGCUAGUGCAGAGUUAUAAAUAAUACUUACACUGUGUAAUUGAUGCCAUUAACAAAAUAAACAGUUCCUUUGUUUGGCUGCAGGAUAAGAAUUAUCUAUAGAUCUGUUGCUAGAAUCCUGCUAGAAGAUAGAUCCAAGAUGACAACAAAAUCCUCAGCGCAGGGUCGUGUAUUAAGGCUGUACAUUCAGACUCAUCAGGAACAGCAAUUUCUCUUUCAAAUCAUUGCUAAAGAGGUUAGAUAAGAUGUUAUUUAUGGUAUUCUAGCCAGCCUUCAGUUUUUACACCACAGCCCUUUUCUAAAUCAGUCUGAACGCAUUUCCCUGCUCUAUUUAAGACAGUACCCGAGGCUUUGCUGAAAUGCAGAUAUUGCUACAAUAAUUCAUACAGGGUGCCCCGCUCCUACCCAGAGAUGCUUGUCUAAUAACAACCAUCCUUUCUGCAUCCAAGUACCGUGUGUUGUUCGGGGAUCUCCACCUGACCUGAAUUCUCCCCCUUCCAACAGAGUUGUGCCCUUCCAACUCAGUUCAGGCCUGGCCUGUUACAUUUACAGGGAGGUAGCAACCAGAUCCACUUUCCUCUCCCUUUUCAAAAUUCCUUCUCAAGGCUGGAAAGAAACAGAGACUGCAAUAACAUGACUUCUAAGAGUAAGGACUAUGCAGACCAGGAGACAGGAUAGUUCUACCAAGACCAAAAUGAAUGUUCUUCAGUAUUAAAUGGCAAUUUUGAAGACAGCAGAUUAGUUAACCUAUUUCCAAUCAACAUGCCCUCAAAAAGUAUGCUUCGAACCCAUGCCCAAGUUACUCAUUGUGCUUUCAAAGCCCAGGAUCACGCCUGAAAACAAUGCCCAGUUUGCCUUUUUUUCCAGCCAGAAGUAUCCUGGCAUACUACUGGGUAUGGACUAUGUCCCUCAGCCUCACAGAAGUGCUUAGGACUGAACUUUUUUUUUAAACUUCCCGGAGUUUGAAAUAUAUCCUACUAACCCUAAUGGGCUCAAUUUUCCACUACUUAUAGCCACGCAUAGUAAGGCAUGUGCAAAGUAACAUCUAAGUGGAUGAAAAGCUAUUACUGUGAUUUGGCAGCAUUUUACAUUCACUUAGCACUAACUCUGCACAGGCUUAAAUGACUACACUAGGUGCAAGGCAAGAAAAAAAAAAAAAAAAAAUCAGCCGCACUGAAGUCAAUACAGUUAUUUCUGACUUGGGAUUAAGCGCGAUCUGAAUAGGACCGCUGUCUCCUUGCUCAGAUGGUGAAACUAUUCCCAGCUUCCCAUCCACCCCCUUCAACCACUUGGAGGCAGGGAGCUCCAGGCAAAACACUAUCCAAGAAUAAAUCCUUAUCAGUAUUAGACACGUUUCCUUAGCAACAGGUGGAGAUCUUCAUCCGGUGACAAAUAAUUUUUCCCCCCAUUGAAUCUGAGAGAAACACUCAUUUGUAUGAGUCAAGGAAAAGAGAGCUCACAUGAAAGAGCAAGAGUCCGUCCUUCCCAAGGAUGCUACAGCAGUAAAAUAGAACAAGCCCCCUGAGGUGUCGUGGGGGACUGCAACCUUCCACUUCCCCUGGUAUGGCAAAACCAAGUCCAUAAAACACAAAUGUAAAACAUGAACGAGGUCCUAGUCAAUCUGAGUCAUUUAGCCCCGAAGCUAAAAGAGUCAAGAGCUCUCCGUCACCUCCCGUUGCUCAAAAAUGAAUCUACAAAACGCAAAAGAGAUGAAAGGAAUUCAUCCUAGCCUGGCUAUUCUGGGUGGGGGUGCGUGUUACAGCUUUUUGUGAGAUGCUGCAUUCCGGAGAGUGGCUGCACCGCCAAAUGAGAAGCGUGCAGAUGCA